AUUGAACGCUGGCGGCAUGCCUUACACAUGCAAGUCGAACGGCAGCGCGGGCUUCGGCCUGGCGGCGAGUGGCGAACGGGUGAGUAAUAUAUCGGAACGUGCCCUAGAGUGGGGGAUAACGUAGCGAAAGUUACGCUAAUACCGCAUACGAUCUAUGGAUGAAAGUGGGGGACCGUAAGGCCUCACGCUCCUGGAGCGGCCGAUAUCUGAUUAGCUAGUUGGUAGGGUAAAAGCCUACCAAGGCGAGGAUCAGUAGCUGGUCUGAGAGGACGACCAGCCACACUGGGACUGAGACACGGCCCAGACUCCUACGGGAGGCAGCAGUGGGGAAUUUUGGACAAUGGGGGCAACCCUGAUCCAGCAAUGCCGCGUGUGUGAAGAAGGCCUUCGGGUUGUAAAGCACUUUUGUCAGGAACGAAACGGUGGGGGCUAAUAUCCUCUGCUAAUGACGGUACCUGAAGAAUAAGCACCGGCUAACCACGUGCCAGCCGCCGCCGUAA
rnacentral:rRNA from 1 species